UUUGGAUUAUUGGGUUGCAUC
rnacentral:miRNA from 1 species